GACGAACGCUGGCGGCGUGCUUAACACAUGCAAGUCGAACGGAAAGGCCCUGCUUUUGUGGGGUGCUCGAGUGGCGAACGGGUGAGUAACACGUGAGUAACCUGCCCUUUACUUUGGGAUACCUUCAGUAAACUGGGGCUAAUACCGGAUAUGAGCUCCUGCUGCAUGGUGUGGGUUGUACAGUUUCGGCGUUUGGGGAUGGACUCGCGGCUUAUCAGCUUGUUGGUGGGGUAGUGGCUUACCAAGGCUUUGACGGGUAGCCGGACUGAGAGGGUGACCGGCCACAUUGGGACUGAGAAACGGCCAAGACGCAUACGGGAGGAAGCAGUGGGGAAUAUUGCAAAAUGGGCGGAAGGCUGAUGCAGCAACGCCGCGUGCGGGAUGACGGCCUUCGGGUUGGAAAGCGCUUGAGACUGUGAAGAAGAGUGAGUGACGGUAAUGGGUAAAGAAGCAACGGCUAACUACGUG
rnacentral:rRNA from 1 species